rnacentral:rRNA from 1 species
GAUCCUGGCUCAGGAUGAACGCUGGCGGCGUGCCUAAUACAUGCAAGUAGAACGCUGAAGGAGGAGCUUGCUCUUUCCGGAUGAGUUGCGAACGGGUGAGUAACGCGUAGGUAACCUGCCUGGUAGCGGGGGAUAACUAUUGGAAACGAUAGCUAAUACCGCAUAACAGUAGAUAUUGCAUGAUAUCUGCUUGAAAGGGGCAAUUGCUCCACUACCAGAUGGACCUGCGUUG